rnacentral:rRNA from 1 species
CCUACGGGAGGCAGCAGUGAGGAAUAUUGGUCAAUGGACGAGAGUCUGAACCAGCCAAGUAGCGUGAAGGAUGACUGCCCUAUGGGUUGUAAACUUCUUUUAUAUGGGAAUAAAACGUUCCACGUGUGGGAUUUUGUAUGUACCAUAUGAAUAAGGAUCGGCUAACUCCGUGCCAGCAGCCGCGGUAAUACGGAGGAUCCGAGCGUUAUCCGGAUUUAUUGGGUUUAAAGGUAGCGUAGGUGGAUUGUUAAGUCAGUUGUGAAAGUUUGCGGCUCAACCGUAAAAUUGCAGUUGAAACUGGCAGUCUUGAGUACAGUAGAGGUGGGCGGAAUUCGUGGUGUAGCGGUGAAAUGCUUAGAUAUCACGAAGAACUCAGAUUGCGAAGGCAGUUCACUGGACUGCAACUGACACUGAGGCUCGAAAGUGUGGGUAUCAAACAGGAUUAGAUACCCGAGUAGUC